GAGAGUUGAUCAUGGCUCAGAACGAACGCUGGCAGCGUGGAUUAGGCAUGCAAGUCGAACGGGAUCCGGAAGGUAGCAAUAUCGGCCGGUGAGAGUGGCGGAAGGCGAGGAACACGUGGCAACCUGUCCUGAGGUGGGAAAACCGUUGGAAACGACGGCUAAUACCGAAUGUGGCGCCGGGAGGCAUCUUCCGCGCGCUAAAGGGGGCCGCAAGGCUCCCCCUCUUCGAGGGGCUCGCGCACCAUCAGCUUGUUGGCGGGGUAACGGCCCACCAAGGCUCACGGUUAGCUGGUCUGAGAGGAUGGCCAGCCGCACUGGGACUGAGAUACUGCCCAGACUCCUACGGGAGGCUGCAGUCGAGGAUCAUUCGCAAUGGGGGAAACCCUGACGAUGCGACGCUGCGUUGGAGGAUGAAGGCCCUCGGGUCGUAAACUCCUGUCAUGAGGGAAAAGGCGAGGGGACCCAACACGUCCCUUAGUUGAUGGUACCUCAAGAGGAACGGGCGGCUAACUCUGUGCCAGCAGCGGC
rnacentral:rRNA from 1 species